UGGGGAAUUUUCCGCAAUGGGCGAAAGCCUGACGGAGCAAGACCGCGUGCGGGAGGACGGCCUAUUGGUUGUAAACCGCUUUUGAUAGGGAAGAAGUUCUGACGGUACCUAUCGAAUCAGCAUCGGCUAACUCCGUGCCAGCAGCCGCGGUAAUACGGAGGAUGCAAGCGUUAUCCGGAAUUAUUGGGCGUAAAGCGUCCGUAGGUGGUUGUACAAGUCUGCUGUUAAAGCGUGCGGCUUAACCGCAUAUCAGCAGUGGAAACUGUAUGACUAGAGUGCGGUAGGGGUCAGGGGAAUUCCCAGUGUAGCGGUGAAAUGCGUAGAUAUUGGGAAGAACACCGGUGGCGAAAGCGCCUGACUGGACCUGCACUGACACUGAGGGACGAAAGCUAGGGGAGCGAAAG
rnacentral:rRNA from 1 species